GGGUUGUGAGGUUAAGCGACUAAGCGUACACGGUGGAUGCCCUGGCAGUCAGAGGCGAUGAAGGGCGUGCUAAUCUGCGAUAAGCGUCGGCGAGGUGAUAUGAACCUUUGACCCGGCGAUACCCGAAUGGGGAAACCCAGUGUGUUCCGACACACUAUCAUGUCAUGAAUACAUAGUGGCAUGAGGCGAACCGGGGGAACUGAAACAUCUAAGU
rnacentral:rRNA from 1 species